rnacentral:rRNA from 1 species
AAAGCGUGCGCAGGCGGUUAUGUAAGACAGAUGUGAAAUCCCCGGGCUCAACCUGGGAACUGCAUUAGUGACUGCAUAGCUGGAGUACGGCAGAGGGGGAUGGAAUUCCGCGUGUAGCAGUGAAAUGCAUAGAUAUGCGGAGGAACACCGAUGGCGAAGGCAAUCCCCUGGGCCUGUACUGACGCUCAUGCACGAAAGCGUGGGGAGCAAACAGGAUUAGAUACCCUUGU